GAUGAACGCUGGCGGCGUGCCUAAUACAUGCAAGUCGAGCGAACGGACGAGAAGCUUGCUUUUCUGAUGUUAGCGGCGGACGGGUGAGUAACACGUGGAUAACCUACCUAUAAGACUGGGAUAACUUCGGGAAACCGGAGCUAAUACCGGAUAAUAUUUUGAACCGCAUGGUUCAAAAGUGAAAGACGGUCUUGCUGUCACUUAUAGAUGGAUCCGCGCUGCACUAGCUAGUUGGUAAGGUAACGGCUUACCAAGGCAACGAUGCAUAGCCGACCUGAGAGGGUGAUCGGCCACACUGGAACUGAGACACGGUCCAGACUCCUACGGGAGGCAGCAGUAGGGAAUCUUCCGCAAAGGGCGAAAGCCUGACGGAGCAACGCCGCGUGAGUGAUGAAGGUCUUCGGAUCGUAAAACUCUGUUAUUAGGGAAGAACAUAUGUGUAAGUAACUGUGCACAUCUUGACGGUACCUAAUCAGAAAGCCACGGCUAACUACGUG
rnacentral:rRNA from 1 species